rnacentral:rRNA from 1 species
AGUGAACGCUGGCGGUAGGCCUAACACAUGCAAGUCGAACGGCAGCACAGUAAGAGCUUGCUCUUACGGGUGGCGAGUGGCGGACGGGUGAGGAAUACAUCGGAAUCUACUUUUUCGUGGGGGAUAACGUAGGGAAACUUACGCUAAUACCGCAUACGACCUACGGGUGAAAGCAGGGGAUCUUCGGACCUUGCGCGAUUGAAUGAGCCGAUGUCGGAUUAGCUAGUUGGCGGGGUAAAGGCCCACCAAGGCGACGAUCCGUAGCAGGUCUGAUAGGAUGAUCAGCCACACUGGAACAGAGACACGGUCCAGACUCCUACGGGAGGCAGCAGUGGGGAAUAUUGGACAAUGGGCGCAAGCCUGAUCCAGCCAUACCGCGUGGGUGAAGAAGGCCUUCGGGUUGUAAAGCCCUUUUGUUGGGAAAGAAAAGCAGCAGGUUAAUACCCCGCUGUUCUGACGGUACCCAAAGAAUAAGCACCGGCUAACUUCGUG